GACGAACGCUGGCGGCGUGCCUAAUACAUGCAAGUCGAGCGCAGGAAAUCGACGGAACCCUUCGGGGGGAAGUCGACGGAAUGAGCGGCGGACGGGUGAGUAACACGUAAAGAACCUGCCCUCAGGUCUGGGAUAACCACGAGAAAUCGGGGCUAAUACCGGAUGGGUCAUCGGACCGCAUGGUCCGAGGAUGAAAGGCGCUUCGGCGUCGCCUGGGGAUGGCUUUGCGGUGCAUUAGCUAGUUGGGGGGGUAAUGGCCCACCAAGGCGACGAUGCAUAGCCGACCUGAGAGGGUGAUCGGCCACACUGGGACUGAGACACGGCCCAGACUCCGACGGGAGGCAGCAGUAGGGAAUCUUCCACAAUGGACGAAAGUCUGAUGGAGCAACGCCGCGUGAACGAGGAAGGCCUUCGGGUCGUAAAGUUCUGUUGUAAGGGAAGAACAAGUGCUAGUUGAAUAAGCUGGCACCUUGACGGUACCUAACCAGAAAGCCACGGCUAACUACGUGCCAGCCGCCGCGGUAA
rnacentral:rRNA from 1 species